rnacentral:rRNA from 1 species
GGUUACACUUAUGAUACAAUGAAAAAAGUUCGGUAAUUAAUUAAUAAGAGUUGUGAGUAAGAUUUUAAUUUUAUUAAGUGAAAUUUUUAAAAUUGAUGGAUAUUUUUAUUAUUUUUAUGAGGUUAAUAAGUUUAGAUUUUAGACUAGGAUUAGAUACCCUAUUAUUCUAAAUCAAAUAGUAGUUACUUGGUUAGUAGUAGUUAUGGUCUUGGAAAUUAAAGAAGUUGGCGGUAUUUUAGUCUAUUCAGAGGAACUUGUCCUAUAAUCGAUGGUCCACGAUUUUUUUUACUUAUUUUAUUAGUUUGCAUAUCGCCGUAGGUUGAAUAUUUUUGAAAAAUUGGUAAUGUUCAAUAAUUUUUAUAAGAAAAGAAUUCAGGUCAAGAUGUAGCUGAUAAAUAAGAAGAGAUGAGUUACAAUGAAGAUAUUUAUACGGAUUAGUAGAUGAAAUUUUACUGUGAAGAUGGAUUUGAGGGUAAUUUUAUUGAGAUUAAUAAAAUGAUUCUAGCUCUAAAAUAUGUACA